AGCUGGUUAGCUUAAAUAAAAGCUCCUGACUUUUAAUCGGGUGAUGGGUUUCCCACUGGCUA
rnacentral:tRNA from 1 species